rnacentral:antisense_RNA from 1 species
CGCCGCGUGCACAGCCGGCGCUCGUUCCAGCGGCCUCGCGCGCGCCGCCGCCCCGCGCUGCUGAAGCUGGCGUCGCUGCCGCCCUCGUGCCACGCACCGCCGCACGCGCUGGAGCAGGAGGAGACGCCGCUGUGACGCCGCCGGCGGGAAGGGUCCGCGCGCCAUGGCUGGCCGCUCGCGCCCUUUCCCACCGCUGCCGGGAAACCGAGGCUCGCCCCAAACGGAUUUGCGUGAAACCAGCCCAAGGUUCCGGGCCCCCCCCCAACCGAGCCCCGCGCCCGGGGACUGACUCGGGGACCGACUCAGGGACCUCCCGAGCGCCAGGACUCAGGGCCCGACCUGCAGCGGCUGCAGGCCCAGCGCCCGCAAGCGGCCUGGGCCGAGCGCCGUUUCCAGGCCCUCGCCAGGUCUUUGAACUGCAGAUCAAGUGUUGACAGUCACCAGUCAGGAGGAGUUCUUAAAGAGUUUUAUGUUGACUGAAUAUUGCACAUUGAGUCCCCAUUGAGUCCCUGGUGGGAAAAGUCCACAAUUUCCCAUUGAUAGCUUUUUACUGUUGUGAAAAAGGGAAGCGUCAGCCACACAAAAGCCUCCAUGACCGCUGCUUCGGAGAAGCUCUCGACCCUAACUGCAGUCACUGUUACUUGGAUCAGAUCAAGCGCAGUGACUUUUUGGGAUUCAGUGGUCAUUCUCCACACUUCGUAGCCAUUUCAACCAACUCUGAGCACAAAAUGCAGCCAUCCUCUAUGCAGCAAGCCCUGCCCAGUCAGUGACCCUACUGGACAGAUCCAAGGCCAGCCCUGGUUCCCUGCUGCAGCCACCGUCCUGACGUUCAUCGGAGCAGGCCGGGGCCUGGCCUUCCCGGCACAAGUGGCUGUUCUGACAGGCCCCCAGUUUGUCCCAUCUGAACUGCUGGGAGGUUUCCGGGUGGCCAGAGGAGCAAAGCUGCCUUCCAAGUGCCUGUCUGUGCCUGGGAGAACAGAGCAGGAGCGUCGUGCGGCCCACAGCGCAGUGCGUGGCGAUUCCAGGCGCUGAACAACUCCCCUGGACCCUUGGGCCUGCAUCUGACUCCCGGCUGCAGAGUCAGAAGCUGAGUCCAGGCAACUGCUUGGCCACUCCCGAUCGCUCCUCCCUGGACACCCGGUUACCAAAGUCAGCAAAGAAGAUGCGGUAAUCGCCGCCUGAUCUCCACAUGGUGACCACGACACUCUCACCAACACCUGCUUGACUGGUCAGUCUUCAGCACCGGGGGUGGGCAGGCAGGUGUUCUGUGUUUACGAGAAUUGCACAGGCUAAAUACAAACAUGGAACCAGAGUUCCAGUGAGAACACCUCACUCACAGCAGCCCAGGCUGCUCCCUACCAGGUGACGGAGCGCGCCCGGGCUGUGGGUGCCAGGGGCUGAGUGCUAGGGACUCGUCAUGAGUGGGGAUCCCCACGUUCCUGUCACUGCUGUCAAACAGAAGGUAAACAGUCUUAUGAAUGUAUUUCCUUAGGAAAACUUGUAAAAACUUUUAUUAGGAUAUCUAUUUAAUACUGAACUUUGGCCUACUUUGUGAUAGACUAUAAACAAAUUGAGGAAACCACUAUUUCUCACUUCUGUAUUUUCUCAAAAAUAAUUUUGUUACAGAGUUCAAUAUACUGUGUACCAUUGAUCUUCUAUUGUGAAAGCAAAGAAUUUCAUCAAAAUAUUUUAAAUUAUGAGUGAAAAUUGUGUAUGUGAAUUUUGCAGCUAUAAUAUUAAUCAAACUUUGUGUAAUUCUAAUCACAAAAUGACGUGCCUUAAGUGCCCCUCCAGCUGUGGGUUGGCAGUGUCCAGACAGGGAGGGCCCAUCACCGAAAUCCUGAACGAUUACUAGACCAAUUCUAUUAAAAACAUUUCAAGGCA